CAGUCGAACGAACUCUGGUAUUGAUUGGUGCUUGCAUCAUGAUUUACAUUUGAGUGAGUGGCGAACUGGUGAGUAACACGUGGGAAACCUGCCCAGAAGCGGGGGAUAACACCUGGAAACAGAUGCUAAUACCGCAUAACAACUUGGACCGCAUGGUCCGAGUUUGAAAGAUGGCUUCGGCUAUCACUUUUGGAUGGUCCCGCGGCGUAUUAGCUAGAUGGUGGGGUAACGGCUCACCAUGGCAAUGAUACGUAGCCGACCUGAGAGGGUAAUCGGCCACAUUGGGACUGAGACACGGCCCAAACUCCUACGGGAGGCAGCAGUAGGGAAUCUUCCACAAUGGACGAAAGUCUGAUGGAGCAACGCCGCGUGAGUGAAGAAGGGUUUCGGCUCGUAAAACUCUGUUGUUAAAGAAGAACAUAUCUGAGAGUAACUGUUCAGGUAUUGACGGUAUUUAACCAGAAAGCCACGGCUAACUACGUGCCAGCAGCCGCGGUAAUACGUAGGUGGCAAGCGUUGUCCGGAUUUAUUGGGCGUAAAGCGAGCGCAGGCGGUUUUUUAAGUCUGAUGUGAAAGCCUUCGGCUCAACCGAAGAAGUGCAUCGGAAACUGGGAAACUUGAGUGCAGAAGAGGACAGUGGAACUCCAUGUGUAGCGGUGAAAUGCGUAGAUAUAUGGAAGAACACCAGUGGCGAAGGCGGCUGUCUGGUCUGUAACUGACGCUGAGGCUCGAAAGUAUGGGUAGCAAACAGGAUUAGAUACCCUGGUAGUCCAUACCGUAAACGAUGAAUGCUAAGUGUUGGAGGGUUUCCGCCCUUCAGUGCUGCAGCUAACGCAUUAAGCAUUCCGCCUGGGGAGUACGGCCGCAAGGCUGAAACUCAAAGGAAUUGACGGGGGCCCGCACAAGCGGUGGAGCAUGUGGUUUAAUUCGAAGCUACGCGAAGAACCUUACCAGGUCUUGACAUACUAUGCAAAUCUAAGAGAUUAGACGUUCCCUUCGGGGACAUGGAUACAGGUGGUGCAUGGUUGUCGUCAGCUCGUGUCGUGAGAUGUUGGGUUAAGUCCCGCAACGAGCGCAACCCUUAUUAUCAGUUGCCAGCAUUAAGUUGGGCACUCUGGUGAGACUGCCGGUGACAAACCGGAGGAAGGUGGGGAUGACGUCAAAUCAUCAUGCCCCUUAUGACCUGGGCUACACACGUGCUACAAUGGAUGGUACAACGAGUUGCGAACUCGCGAGAGUAAGCUAAUCUCUUAAAGCCAUUCUCAGUUCGGAUUGUAGGCUGCAACUCGCCUACAUGAAGUCGGAAUCGCUAGUAAUCGCGGAUCAGCAUGCCGCGGUGAAUACGUUCCCGGGCCUUGUACACACCGCCCGUCACACCAUGAGAGUUUGUAACACCCAAAGUCGGUGGGGUAACCUUUUAGG
rnacentral:rRNA from 2 species